UUUACUCUUAGCUCUCUUUUCUCGUCAGUCCUCCUUCUUCUAGAGCUGGUUUCGUUCGGCAAAAAAGAAUAUGGACCGGUGGGGAUCAAACUCGUGGUCUCCAUAAUAUUCAGAAUUUUGUGGCAUCAGAGGCAAGAAAUUACUGCUGGAUUUUGCGGCAGCGAUGAGCAAAAGGCAUGAAGAAAAAGUUGGAAGUUUAGAUAAUAGCAUGACAACAAACACGUAGGAGAUGCAAUACCACAAGCUUUUCGCAACCAAUGAUUCGAUAUUAUCCGUCAAGUGAAUUAGAUUUUAACUGGUUUUUUCUCUGUAUAAUGCUUGAUAUAAUCUUGUUCUGUCAAUACACCAGAGGCUCCUAUCGAUGCCAAGUCUUUAUAAGCAAAAACGCUUUGUUUUCAUGGCUUGGACUGUGAUGCCAAGAGCGAGUGACCCUCCGAACAUCCAGCCUUCUUUUUAUGAUGAAGCUUGACAAAGCCACCAUCGAUGCUCAUUUUGAGUAGGUUAUCCAUGAGACCCCACCCCGCGAUAAAGCAAUUCGAGACUAAAAAUAGAAACUGUGGUGGGACUAAGAAGAAGAUGACAACCAAAGCAAACAGGCAAUGAGUGUUGAUAGUUCGACAGACUCUCCUGACCUUUAAUUUCAUGAGAAGCAAGUCCAAGUGUCGAGCAAAUUGCUGUUUCUGAUGGCCAUGAUCUCCACCGGUAGAAGAUUUGAUUGCACAGUCUUCUCGCGGUGCAAAAUUUCCCUCGGAAUAAAUCAUGUUCCUGAAUCCAAGAACAGUGGAAGAUUGCUUCUUUC